UACGUAGGUGGCAAGCGUUGUCCGGAUUUACUGGGCGUAAAGAGCGCGCAGGCGGUCGUUCAAGUCGCGUGUGAAAGCCCCCGGCUCAACUGGGGAGGGUCACGCGAUACUGAUCGACUCGAAGGCAGGAGAGGGAAGUGGAAUUCCCGGUGUAGUGGUGAAAUGCGUAGAUAUCGGGAGGAACACCAGUGGCGAAGGCGACUUCCUGGCCUGUUCUUGACGCUGAGGCGCGAAAAGCUAGGGGGAGCAAACGGGG
rnacentral:rRNA from 1 species